GUCUAUGGCAUGCUACCCUGAAUGCACCUGAUCUCGGAAGCUAAGCAGGGUCCGGCCUGGUUAGUACUUGGAUGGGAGUCCACCUGAGAAUAUCAGGUGCUGUAGCUU
rfam:Pteropus alecto contig81323, whole genome shotgun sequence.